rnacentral:lncRNA from 1 species
GCCGAGUCUGAGGAAAUUUGGCCUCGUUUUCCUAGGGCUGGUGAAUGAGCUCCGGAGGUCAAUAAAGCCCUCCAAAAAUGAUGAAUGAUUGAGCACCUGUGAUGAUGAUAGUGAUUACCAGAGCAAUUAAACAGUUUGAUUAAAUGAGCCAUCAUAACAAUGAUGUCUGCGGGAAAUCGGCCCUCACAUAUAAAGACAGUGUGGAGGAGCUGGCAGAGGCACGGAGAGCGCGCCGGGAGAGGGGCUGCGGCCCGUGCGGGUUUGGCUCCAGUGGCCAAAGCAGGGAAGGCGGGCUUGGGGACCUUCUGGGAGCACAGUUCAGCCAAGGGUUUCCGUCUCUCUUUCUGUCCGGCUACAAGCCUAAGACAGCGGACCAGUCUGGAACCCGGACUGUAGGGUCCUCCCCCCGCCCCCACCACUUUUUUCCUCCCUAGAAGAACUUCAAGAUUACAAAUAUCCGUCUCAUUUGAUGCUGAGUUACUCGUCGACGGAUAAGAAAAGGAACGCCAGUUUCCGAGAUAAAUGCUUCUUUUGUCAAGAACAACUUCGUGAGAAGCCUCCGCAUCUUCCUCUAAGCAUGCUUAGCGCUUUAUUCCCACACCGCUACGGCGUCCCCCCCCCGCCCCCUUGAUAUUGUAAAGCGAUUUAGUUUCCCUGUAGCCUUUAUUUAGUAAAACUUCUUAGCAUUAAAAAAAAGGCAGUAAUAAAGUUUCUCCCUGAGU